CAUUGAGGCUGAAGGUCAGCUUUCUUCUGUCACCCUCUGGUCUCUCUACCCUUUCCAUCUCUUUCUGAAUUAAACUCUUCAGUAUGCCAUCAUGUUCAUCAGUACAUGGUGAAGACAUUGAAUAAGCUUCCCAAGAGCAGUUGGUGUUGCCUCAACAUAGGUGACAUCACAGAGGAUGCCAGGGCUCUCCAGGAUACAGUAGAAUGUCCAGCGAAGAGCUGCAGAUGUCAUGAGAACUGACAUUGCUUCCCUGCUAAUGAGUUUUCCUCAUAACACACAAGAAGUCAAGCUGACCUUUGCAGGAGCCUCUGCUGGGAUACAAGGGAAGCCCUUCAGCAUCCCCUUCAUCCAAAGCCAGAGAUCUCUCCCCAGUUACUUGGACAUCCCUUAGUUCUUUCCAUGUGUGGAACUGAAUGUUUAUCUCCUACAGUAAUUCUAUAUACACAAGGAUAUCUGAUAUUCAACCCCCAAUCGGGUGGUGAACCACAGGUUGAGGACCACAGCUCUGAAUGCAAGCAGAAAUCUCUUCAAAUCCUGGCAGUGGUUCUGGAGCAGUGACAUUCUUACUUUUUAUUAUCAGACUGAAUCAAACUAGUCACCUGGGAAUAGGGACCCUCAAUGAGGAAUUAUAUAGAUCAGAUUUACUUUG